rnacentral:rRNA from 1 species
UAAGGAAUAUUGGUCAAUGGACGCAAGUCUGAACCAGCUAUGCCGCGUGAAGGAUUAAGGUCCUCUGGAUUGUAAACUUCUUUUAUAUGGGACGAAAAAAGGUCUUUCUAGACCCCUUGACGGUACCAUAUGAAUAAGCACCGGCUAACUCCGUG